rnacentral:lncRNA from 1 species
GUAAGAAUUAUAAUCCUAAUCUGUGAACAAUUCAAGAACGUCAUUUUUAUUUUUUUUCAAUUUCAGAAGUUAUGCAUCUAUAUAACAACUGUUUCAUUGUAUUAUAUGCUAUUUGUUAAGAGAGGAAAGAUAGGAGAAAACUGGAGAGUGAUGGUACACUAUAAUGUCUUGUCUUCAAAACUGUAAUUAGAAAUUAGUUAUCAUACUGGUGUGGAAGUUGGAAGAUUAAAUGUAUGUGAUGUUGUCAAUUUGUAAUUGUUGAGAUGUUUUACUAUUUUUCUUAGAUGAAUCAUGCCAUCGCAUUGUGAUUGUUGUUAAGAGGUUGGAUAUCUAAGUAAUGCCAUUGUGGCUUGUUUAAUGCUCAUACAUUUGAAUUUUUUGUUAGGCAUAAUUAGUAUAAUGCUCAUACAUUUGAAUUUUCUAUCAGGCAUAAAUAGUAUAAUGCUUUUCCUUUGAAUUCUAGUGCUAAUCUCAACAUGUAGUGUCAGGCUGUUGCUCUGCUUUGGAGUUUGAAUAGCUGAAACUAAUUGGCUUUGAAGGACAAGGUGAACUUAUUUUUGAUGAUAUUUUCAUGGUUGAGAAUGUAGACUUGGAUGGUAAAAAGUAUGACAACGGUACGAGCACCUCUUAUUUCUUUGUAUCAUUUCAUUUCAUUUUUUUUAAAGAUCAAUCUACUUUAUAGUAUGGGUCCCUUGGAUAUGCAAAGCUAUCUUAUUGAGUUGAUAGUGUGAUAUUAAUACUUGGGAGAAGUAGUGUUGUAUGAUUUUUAACUUGAAAGUUGCCUCAACACGAAUAAUCGAUUAUUAGAAACUAUGACUCUAUUCUUUUUAUUGUUAGCGCUGUGGUAUUUUAUUAUUAUCCGAAAUCAUAAUAGGUUUUCAGAUAGAUAAAUAAAAUGUUAGUUUUAUUAUCUUUGAACUAUAUUUCUAAAUUUUAAAUAAGCUUUUGCUAGUUUUCAAUAAAAUAAAAUCUUUACAGGUUUGUUUCUCACAUAAGUAUAAGUCUAACUUGACUGUAACUGGUAGAUUCUUGCAGAAUCUAGAGGAGACCUUUUACCUGAUCCUCGAUUUGAUGACAUCAACAAUAUAGGUCUUGGUUUUCAGAACGAUAGUGAUUCUACUUCUUUUACACAGUAAAUUUGUACCUUGUCAAUUGUAUGAUGCAUUUUCUUUCUUGAUUGGUUUUCUAUUGUUGACAAAAUUUUGUAUAUUCGUAUGCACUAUAUCUCUGGAUGAUCACAUUUAAAAAAAUUAUUGUUCUAUGUUUAAAGUUUAAUCAAUAAAAAAAUUAUUGGUAACAGAAAUGGUAACAUUUGGUAGGAAAAUAGGUAGUGGUAAUUGAUUAGAUUCCCGUGGGCAUGUGUGAUUGUGACACCUUCCCAUAUCAUGAUGAUGUAGAGUAACCGUAUGAGUGGGAAAAAGAAGCAGAGUAACAAUACUUAUGGUAGUUUGUCAUUUCUUCCAGAUUCUAUGGAUUAUAAUGUUCAUUUGAAUAUUUAUUGAUUUAUUUAAGUUGGAUGUCACUUGUUUGGAAUAUUCUUACCCUUAUGUGAUAUAAAGUUACACUUGUAAGUUUCUUGAUAUCUCCAUGUUACCUCUUCAAAAACAAAGGAUGAACUUGGUGAUGUAUAGUUAUAUAGGGAGUAAGUUUGUUACAAUCAUCUAACAGCUUCACAACCAUCACUCCAAGUAAGUUUGUUUUAGUUAACUUUUUUUACUUCAGUUUAAUAUAUAAUAUAUUAUAUAUUGACGUUUGGUUCUUAAUUUGUUUGACAUUUUAAUUGGUAUAAUUCAGUCAAUCUUGGGAGGAUGUCUUUUGGGAUAUGAAGAAUCGUCUUCCUCGAAGCAUCUCAACAUUGGAGUGGGAGAACAACUUUGUUUCUAUUUACAGCAAGGAUAAUCCAAACUUGCUUUUCAGCAUGUGAGUGUUGAUUAUUUUUAGCAAUACCAAUUCCUUUUUAUCUUUCCCUUUUUUCAAUGCAUUCAAGCCUUUAAGAAUAUUUUACUGGCCUUGGAUGUCUAAUUUAUCAUGAUUAUGGUUGAAAAUAUAGUUUAAUUGGUGAGUGAAACUGAAUUGUGGAUAGUCUGUAAAGAGGUCAUCAUUGGUUUCCCAUGGUCUUUGUUUGUUUUCAGGGCUUAUGACCUAUUUUCGAGAGGCAAACUAUGCAUACCCAAGAGCUGUUAGAUUUGCUAGUUAAAUGUGAAAAUAAAAUUCAGGCUCGUAUUAAGAUUGGGCUCAACUCAAAGAUGCCUAACAGGUAAUUAUUUCUUUUUUUUAUGGUAGGUAUAUUAGUUGUUUCUUAAUAUUUUAUUCAUAAAUAAUGGGUUUUAAUGUUCAAAUAUAUGCUCCACUGUAUCUUUUAUCAGGUUCCCACAUGUCAUUUUCUACACUCCUAAAGAAAUAGGAGGGCUUGGAUUGUUGUCCAUAGAGGUAUACUGCGUAUUAACACUCUGUUUCAAAAGGAUAGGCACACUUUGGCUUAUGAUAAAGGAUGGAUAGUGCGCACUGAUUUCAAGCAGUACCAAGUUCUGAAGCAAAAGCCCUUCCGGUGGACACAUCAGAGCCACUAUGGGAAGUUGUGGAACUUGAACAAUUACCGAACUGAUGUUACUUGAACUUUGUUGUAAUUUUAAACUUGAUUAGGAAUGUAUGAACUUUUUAUGUGUUUUAAUUUUCAAUUAUAUAAACUUUUGAACAUUAUUAUGUGUGCUUUAAUUUUCAAUGAAAUGAAUGGAUGAUUAUA